AAGAUCAACACUGAAUCACUGGUGAUUUAUUGACACAUUUAUAAAAGCCGAUUGUUGCGUUUGUGAGGCUCUGACUUCCCAUUGCCCACUUGUUCAUUGGAGGUGAUGAGUGAGCGAUAACUACCUUAGUAAGCUCAUUCUGCUCAGGCUCAGGGCCUUCAGCAAAGGGUCUCGAGGGCUGUUCCUGAGAUGCUCUGCACUCAGGGCUGGAACUGGGUUUCAGCUGGCUUUAGUGCUCCUGUACAACAGCAGAGGGUGCUAGUGCCAUCCCCAAGGAGAACAGGCUUCUGGGUGUUGCAGAAAGCAGAUUCCCACAUGCAACUCACUAUACAGUAUCACAGCAGGGAGACUGGAAGCUUUUGUGAAAGUGGAGGAGAGAGCAGUGUAUUGCUGUUUGUGAUAUAAUGGAGGUUUUGGAAAUGCGAAGUGUGGAAAAAAUUCUUUAUCUCAUUACAAGGAGCCACUGAUAGGGAAAGGUAGUGAGUUCAUUUGCAUGAUGGAGCCAUGCAGGAAGAUACACGACCGUGUCCAACAAUGUAUAGCAGUUUAGAAUUUUAAUUGUACUGCUUAGAAGGUCUGCUGCCUGGCCAAAGGUUGAUCUUUGUCCCAUCCAGAUGCAGGAUCUGAUGAUUUUAUGGGAGAGAUCAGAGAUACAAACAGCAACUUGGCACACACUUAGCAUGAGUUAGGAGAAAAGGCUUAGAAUAGCAAGGAAUGACCAUUCUGAAGAACUCUACUGUCCUGUUUCCUUUGUCAUGCUUGGACAGAGAGAGUUCCCCUAAGUAGCAAUAUUUCAUUUUUAAUUGCUUGGAAAUAUAUAUAUAUAUAAAAUAUUACAGUAGGACUUCUUGGCUUAGAAAGGUUGUGCUUGCCCCAUUUGCUCAGUUAAGUGCUUUGCAGAUCAAUACAGAAAAGACAUUAUGCUAUGAUGAUACUUUGUCCUUCAGAACUGUUACUGGAAGGAUUCUAGUAUCCAUGGAGGCAAUUAGCUGCCUACAGAGUCAGACACAUGUCCCUCUUUGUCUUUUCAUCUAGCAUGAAGUGCCCUACCUGCACUUACAUUAGGCCUUCCCUGGUUUGACAAACAUUAUGGUGAUUAUGGUGUGAAACCUCUCACAUUUAGGGAAUCCUGAUAUCUCUUUAGGAAUCUGGCUUGGUACACUUGCAUUCUAUGCAUAUUUUGGCUUGUACCCAAAGAGUCCUUAUUCAUUAUGGGGUAUUGCUGUUCUUGCAGCCUGGGUUAGUUCUUGCUGUAGAGGUUGAGUGCAACCUGUCUUUGUUUUUUCUUAACAUUUUAUAGAAAUAAGCAGGUGAGAUAAACUGCAAAUUCCAAACUUGGAACAAAAAAAGCAUCUUCACAGAUUAAAAACAAGUGGCUCAGGUAUUUCCAGCUGGAUGAAUGAAGGUGAAUCUGUGGAAGAAUGGCUGUUCAACUCAAGAAACAAAAGGCUCAGAGCAGGGUGCCAUAGUGCAGUACUUGAAAUGCAAUGCUGUGCAGCAUAGCUUCUAACAAGGAAGCUAAGCCUAAGUUCUGCAGCUUCUCCCAGCUCGAGGGGCAGAUUAUUGAUUAUGGAAAUAGUGAGAUGCUAUUAUGGUUCCUGUUGUGUAAGGAGGGAUUUGAAAUGAAUUCUUUUAAUAGCUGUUUUCUUUAGAGGCAGUUCAGAAAAAAAUCUACAGGCCGUUUACAUAAACAGGAUUGACUGCCAAUUCCUGCUCUGAUCUAUGAGACAAACUAGUCCCAAAACAAGUAGGUAUGAAAACCACUGAAGUCAUGGAGUAUUCAUUAAUAUAAUUUUGUCUGAAAUAGAAAUGAAAAAGCAGGAAGAAGGGUUUGGUACAAACAUUCUGAUACAGAAGGCUGUUCCAUACCCGAAACUCUCAUCCUUUCUUCUCUCUGCCUCCAUUAUAUUUUCCCAACUAUCUUAUUUUGGCCUCCAAAUUAGUUUUAACUUACAGGUAUUUUUCCAGCACAGCAGGGUGAGGUUGAGCGCUUCCAAAUUAGAAGCUUUCCACAUUUCUCUGGAAUAUGUUUCUGUGGCACUGAGGUAACUUUUUCCCAAGUUACACAAUAAGGCCACUGUAGCAAUGGCAUCAACGUAUGGGAAAGGGUCAAAGUCCUGGGGCUGUGUUGUGUUUCCAUAGUGCUCCUUGCAGCAGCCUUCCUUAAUGGUGCCAUUGGCACUGGCAGAGCCAGCAAGCAAGAAACGUUGCUGGCUGCCUUCUGUGAAUGUGUCACUCCUGCUGGCCUAAGUACUGGCUGUACAUCACUAGUGACGUGGGCAAGUGAAGAAAAGCAACACUCAUUGAGAAGCAAACUGAGGGGGAGAUGUGCCCCCCAGAGGGUCGGCAUGUUACCAGUUGUACAUGCAGGAGGAAACAAUUUCUGUGGGCUUUGUGAGCUGUGAAAGUGUGUUUUAUUCAUAUGGGAGUAAAUAAAGUGACUUCUCUGUCACAAGUAAAUGCACAAAUUAGGAUAUAUCUACAUAAAACCAGAGCUGCGUUUUAAGCACAACAGGCACUUACUCAGCUUGGAGCCUGAAUCAUACACAUUGCAAAGGAGUGGAAAACAUGGGCUUUUAGAGGAACGUUUGCAACAUGAUGGAAAGCAGAGCAAUGACAGCACAGCAGCAAGGUCCUAAGCUGCAGCAAGAGAGAAUUCACCCAAAUGAACAGCUGCAGGCACACAAAUAAAGGAAAGGAGCUACUUACCUUCAGAAGGACUCAGCAAUAUAGUGCUACCAAACAGCAUGACCUGAAGGAUCUUAUGGUGUCAAUCAGAAGCUCCAAGAAAACGCACUUUCCCUAAAACCAGGUUUGACAGAAGCUCCCUGCUGCAGUGCUGCAAGAGGAGUACAAGCACAAACAUCUGGAUGAGUUGUUGCCAGGAAUUGUACAAACGUGAUCUCUGGAGUCCUUCAUGAUAUAAAUCUCAGCAUAGAACUUAGGGUCAAAUCUUCUGCAUAUGCCAAAAUUAUGCUGAAUUUGAGAGAAAUCGUUCCAGAUUCACACCGGCACUCUACAGUGAAAUGAUGUUUGAAGCAAAUAUGCCUGUGCUUCCUAAGCAGCCCCUCCUAAACUCAGCAGUGUGCUGAAGUACACUGUUACUGGUUCAAAAGGAAUUGAUUUCUCAGAAAUGGUUGAUCUCCCACAUGGCCAAUGGGUUUCAGGUACAGUAUGAUUUAUUGCCACAGCAAUAUGGAAUUCUGCAUCUCCAGUUUCUGCCUGCACAUAAUAAGUGGUGGUCUGCCUUUCUCUGGAUAGGCCGUUUGGCACUGACCAGUUAUUCUUCCCCAUGGUAUUGACCAAGCUGGUGUUUCAGCUUACUGAACCGAAUAUGGAACUAUUUAUUUCCAUCUACUAUUAAGAUAGAGCUUCUACAACAUUUCUGCCAGCGAUACGGUGAGUAUGUAUGUCAGAGUUCUCUAACAAGCUGCCAUUCAUUUCCUCAUGCUUAAAAAGGGUACAGAGAAGGAACCAGUGAAACAUAAAAUGCCAAUAAUAAAGAUAAGCUCACGGCAGCCAGCAAUUCCCCCGUUUAAAAAGAAUGUUCCAAGAUGUAUAUUUCAUCAUUCUCUGAAAUAAGGAAGACAUUUAAAGAGCAUCUGUGUAGUUUGAGUAAGUUUGUUCUGUGAAUUGCUAGGAAAGAAAAGAGACUCUCCUGACGUAUUGCAACAAAUUGUUCCCGGCACUUCAGCUUCGUACACGAACUGAAAAUGCAGAGGAAGCAACACAAUAUUGGAUGAACCUGUUUCAGAAUGUUGGCUCGGACCACAAAGCAAGUAAUUAACAAGCUGAAUGAAGCAUUUAAGCCCACGCCUUAUCAUUUAUGUAACUAACCUUUGAGUUUUGGAUGCACUGGUAUGCUGCAGCGAAGCCUACACAGUGUUUCUUUUAUGUGCGUGUAUUAAGCAAAUGGGAAAUGCAUACCCUGCCAUUUGUUUUUCACAUUUUCAGCGCUUAUCAGAGUUCUCUGCCUGAGUGAUCUUAUAUUGCAGAAAUGUACGCCUCUCGGUCAUUUGUGCUGCAGUGCAGUGUCAAUCCAGAUGAGUUUUGGCCUUGUUAUGUGUGCGGGGAGAUGUCUACUUUUCAGGGUGCUUGUGAGCUUGUUUAAAGCACCAGAAAAGAAUUAAUUGAAUGCUGUUUUGCUCUGAAGAACAGGAAGGAUGGCAGGGGAUGCUGCAAGCCCCUCAUUUCUGGGGGAGCAGCCUUCACCAACAGCUUUGGAAACAAGGAAUGCUGUAAGCUGAGGUCACUGGUUGAGAGGUCUGAAAAGAAGGUGCUUCCAUUCUUCUAACACAUGUGAAGUGUUCCAUCCUUCCCAUCCUGAGAAAUGCUGGGUGUAUGAGGAGCACUGAGACUGCUUAUGACAACAUCAGCUUCCUACAGAGCAGCUAAUAUUUAGCAGUGGAGUGUAGCAUCACCUCUGCUCUCAGGGAAUGAGUCACUUUGCUUACUAAUUCCCCUGCUUUCGUGUCUCUCCCUCCUGUUCUUUCUCCAUCACUUUAUAACCAGACUUAUUUGGAACCCUUAUAAGACAAACACCAUUUCUCCUUGGCGGGAGGGAAAUAAAACAGCAUACUUAACAUGGUUAUAUAACACACUGCUACUCAUGCCUAAAAUGAGGUCAUUUUGAUUAAUAUAUUUAUCUGGUGUGCAGCUGUAACAGGAGAUAUAAUUGUGGUUAAAAGCACUGUUUUAUUUAGUCUCUUUGCAAUGCAGGAUUUGCUUUUUGUAACUAAUAUCCACUGACUCAAUGGGAGCUGUUGGUUAAUGUGUUAAUUGGUGCCCUUGGGCCAUAUCCUGCCCUCCAAACUUUGGGAAAUCUUCACGGUGCAGAAAGACAACUUCCCUUCUCUCUUCUCUCUAAGAAACAAUGUAAGAAUUCCUCUCUCAUUAUAUUUAUUAAGAAAUAAUCCAGUAAAGUACAUAAAAGCAGGCAAGAAAAUGUGAAAGAAAUGAAGGUGCUAUGAGCUGUCAGGGACGUAGAGUUCAGCUUAGUGUGAUAAAAAUGGUGCACAUAGAAUGUGACUCCCUAAGGGUGAUGGUGUUUCUGGAUGAUGGAUACAGUAAAAAGAGCAGAAGGGAGCGAUGAAGGUAGUGACAUGGGCUGGGAGGAGAUGAGCAGCAUUCUGCCAGUGGCUCCAGCAUCAUCAGUGGGAAUCGCAGAGCUGGUAGGAUUUGCUUUUGGAAUACAAGCAGAUGUAUUUUUCUUUGGGGAUGUGAAUUGCCAUUCUUCAAAGUUGUGACGCAUUCGGUUCUAUUUCGGUUUGAUGACUCCUAACCAGACACAUUAGGAGCUGCUGCUCAGAAGCCAGCAUUAAAAACACUGUGUUUUUCUCUUCCCUUCUUUCUGGCAAAAAGCUCAUUAUUCAAGUGCUUUCUCUAACCUCUAGUUACCCUGGUUGCAUAACUGGAAAGCAGCAUCCCACCAUGCACUUCUGUGACCCAGUUGUGCCUUUCCAGGAGUGACUUUAUGAGUUAUGAAAGGUGUGUCUGCCAAAUUGCUACAGAAACAUUUACUCUACUGACCCUGAUUUCCCAAAUAUUAAAUAGCCGGCGUUCACUUGGGAGUGAAAAACAGCAUCAAGAAUAAAGAAAACCAGUUCAGCUCUGUUGAAAAUGCUUCUGUGGGUUCUUUAGCCUUGGUGGAACUCGGGCUUCUCAUUGAGUAAAAAAAUAAUAAUACUUGUAAAAAGCGUUUUUAAAUCAUGAAUGCUUCACUAAACCUUCAAAACACAUUUCAGAUGGUACGUUCAGUACUAAUAGUCACAGCGCAAAUCAUUUGAGUCAUCCAUGGAAGAGACUGAAUGCUAAUUGCUUUGUUGAACGAGCUUACAGUCUAAAUGGUGAUGUUCUGAAUUCAGAUUUCCUAGACUGUCUGCAGACCUGAUAAAAUCCUUUCACAUUGUUGUGCCACCUAUUACCACAUUUCCUAUGCGUGCUAAAGCCUCCAUGCAGAUGAAGCUCAGAUGAAGCUCUAUCAAACACAUAGAGAAAACCAUUUAUUACUAAUAUUACUCUUAAAAAAUCUUCCUGCAGCUUGUAGAAAAGACAAAAAGCAGCCAUGUUUUUUUUCCCCUUUUCUCAUAUAAUACACCAUAAGUCAGUUACAUAAAUAAAGUCACUUACAUAAAUGGCUUAAUUCUCCUUUCACUUACAGCAUUACAAGUCAAGAGCAGAUCUACUGCGAGAGAAGAUGCCAUGCUGGCAUCUCACUCGGGCUGUCAGUUUUGCUUUAACAACCUGAAAGCUGUCCAUGAGGAGAGGUAAACCAUUCAGUGUGCGGCAGCUAAGGGCUAUGCAUGGCAAACCCUGCUCUUUGAUGGUGCUCUGGUUCUCAGGUAGCCUCCAUGUGUUCAUUUGCACUUGGCCUUGCUGAGUGGCUAGUUAUGAUACAGCUGGAGAAGAAGGCCUGGUGACAUUUCCGUCCACUAGGAAGAACCAUUUCAUCUGUUCUCUUGUGUGAUUUCUGGAGUUCUUAGUGGCAGCUGAUAGAAAGUUUGAAAACAACAUGGAUUUAAGAAUGACAGCAACAACAAAGCUUAGCCCCACAGUCCUUUAUCGUUUUAAAGUGAGACAUAAAAUAGUUGACUUCAGAAUGCUUCAUGAGUCCGCUGAAUAAAUCUCUUUCAAGCAUGCUGAACUUCCAGAGCUGGGAAAUACAUCUGCCACCCUAGAUUUGUUUUAGUUACCUUUUGCUUUAAACAACAACUAAAAGCCAUUCUUAAUGAAGGCUUCUGGAAUCAAAACUGAGAACCAAAAGGAAUAAUUUACCUGCCAUGUUCCCAAGCAAAGCUUCAGCUUUGGCUGUUUCCUGGUGGAAAAGCACUUCAACCAAAGUACUUCCCUGCUCAGAUUCAAAUGUUUGUUACUGAGUACCACAGUCCUGACAUAAUUAGCUGUUAGCUUACUAAAUGCAGUGCCCUGGAUUCUAAAAUAAAUACAGGACCUGAGCAACCUUAAAUAAGAGAGCAGCGAGGUAAUCUCUGGUGCUAUAGGUGAUGGGACUGAAGCAGCAGAGAGCAACCACAGCACACAGCUUGCUUCAGUGACAAGGAGCAGUUCAUUCUCAUCUCUAAAAGCUAAACGCUGGUGACUCUUACACAUUUUCAAUAGGAUGAACUGCAGAGCUGUUCUCUCAAUCUUGAGUUUAUGAAUAAAAUUCCAUUUUUCUGCAAGCCAGGGACUUCAAAAGUGCUAUGGAGCUUCUAGCUGAGGGGGCCCUUACUGAUCAUCAUGUUUGCAUGGGUUCACAGGUGCAGCUUAACAAGCCACUAGGGCUCACUUUCCCUGGCUGUGGCUGCAUGUGGAAGGCAGCCUGUCUAUUGUUUUUAAUCACAGCAACAGGCAACUCACUAAAGCAAACAGCACAGGAGGCACUGAAGCAGACAGUGCUAGAUGCUAGACUCUCAGCACUUCCCAUUGCCCUUUCUCUUCUACAGCAAAGAGAGAAAGUGCUCUGGGGGUCCCUUCCAAAGGCUGAGUUUUGGGCAACUGCCUUCCUUCCUGCAGGUUCCUUCCUCCACAUCAGAUUGUGCUGCAUGGCUGCAGAACCUCGGCUGUGUUCUUUGUUCCUCUGUCUAAAACACCUCAAAAAGCAGCUCCCAUGGCACAGUGAUUCACACCUGAUGUUCUCUGUUAUGCAAGCCAAAGAGUAAAGAACACAAAAGUUUUAAUUAGCAAACAACGCUUCACACAGACUCAGUUGGUACAACAUAAUUGCAGGUACAUCUACAAACAAAUACAGGAUCUUUGGACUAUGAAUCUUUUUUAAAAAAUAUUUUAUAUGACAAUGUGAACAAAACUGGAAAGAAAAAACAACUAAGUACUUCAACCUUACGUCGAGGUAGCUGAACAGCACUCUGUUCAGUGGCAUCAGAGUUUCAUUUCAAGUUCAUUACAGUGCACAAAAAUGAUGUUUUACAAACAAAUGGAAUAUACAGGUCCACAAAGAGCUUUUUAUUUAGAAUGGCUUGAGAGAUAAUAUUUCUGGCACUCUUAUAACCACAUAGCUUGAUGGAACUAAAUUGGACAGGUAUAUGGUGCCAAAUUAAGACAUCUUAUACAGAUAGUCUGUUCCUCCCCACUUUCGUACUUCUCCAUCCAUCCCCCACUGGGGAAUUACAGAAGCUAGUACAUUGGUUUUGCUACACUUCUGCUCUGUAAACCUUUGUUCUGCAAAUUUAAAGAUCGAAAGGUGCAUAUGCUCAUAUUUAUAAAAUAUAUGGCUGUGACUCUCUUAAAAAGCUCAAGAAUGGCAAUAACAGAAUACAGGCACUUCUAUGUGAGGGUUACUUUAGACCUUAGGAAACUCCACCCUUAGUAAGCAAUUCACAUGACACCUGGAUGAAUAAGUCAACGUAAUAGCUCCAUUUUUUUUAAUUGUUAUUAUUUUUAAAGUAUUACCCAUCAUUUUAAUCCUGACAAAGCAGAUUCACGCUUGUACACAGACCCCAUUUAUUUAACAAAGCAUCUCAGAACAGCAACCUGGCUGAACUACCACCUUGCUGUAGCUCUAAAAGACUUCCAGCUGCUUUGGACUAAGCCCCAGACUACCAGAUCUUAAGGAUGCACUGCACUACACCACAAGUCAGGCUGCGAAGCUGACAGUAUGAACUCAGCCCAUUUUGCUCUCACCUGAUGUAGGGCUCAGGGGACAGGAAAGCACUGCCCUAAGUGCACACAGUUCCAGUUGGGCUGGAAAGAAAACUGCAAUGAACCUACAUGUGUUUUGUAAAAAUAAGCUUGUGAGUGCAUUCUCAAAUCCUAAGCGCUGCAUUUCAGUACAACUCCUGCCUGUCACUAAUUUAAACACCAGUAAAACUUCAGCACCAAGCAGGAUUCACCAAAAGACUGUCUAAAGAAUUUCAUAAUGCUCUUUCUUUACAGUGCAGUUGAAACCAGACCCACUGCAUCCCAAUUUCAAUGGCUUUAAAUUAAAAAUCAAGUUUGGGUGAGGAAAUCUAUGGUUCAAGUGUUCUGCUCACAAGCAGCCGCACGGGAGAGAAGCACAGGCCAGCCAUGCAGUGUGACAGCUUGUCUCUUAUUGCUAACACUCAUGGAAGAGAUCAGCACUUAAAGAAGAAAAUAUGGGGAAAAAAAAAGGACUACACAACACUGUUCUAGCAUCAACUAAAAUCUAAUUGAUGGUUGUAGUUUCACCACACCGAUUUAUAAUUUAAUUAUUAAUACAAAUAAACUGCAUUCUACAGCUGUGUCUGAGCUCCCUGUCAAACUGCACAAUUUAACUCACAAUUUGUAAUGCAGCUGUGCCUCAGGUUUCCUGUCAAAGCUCUCCAUGCCAAGAUAACAGCUGUUCUGACAGAAACCGCUCCUACACAAGGCAACGUAGGUCAACGUUACUACAGAAAUCUGUCCGUAAGUGGGAAAAUUAGUGUAAUUUCCCCCAGAAAACUCAUCUAUUUAAUUAGAAGGCAAAUACAUGCAGAAAAAAAUUGAUAAGGUGAUACAGCCAGCCUCUGCUAUUUGAUGUGUUUUGUUAAAUAUUACAGUCUACACAAGUGUGAAGAGAUUUCAAAUGAAUUAAGUGUAUCUCACAAAUGCAAGCCUAAUGCUUUCAGGAAGUUUCCAGCUGUGUGGAUGGCUCACCACCAUAUCCAGCAGGAGACUAGCACUUGCUCAUAUCAUUCUGUCAUUGGCUUCACUCUCCAUCACAGGAAAAAGAAGAGACUGAUCACAUUUCCAUGAAAACUGAAUAACUUCUGAUAUUAGUAAUCUUAACUCAGUGACUUAAGGUCAAAGGAAAUGACCUUCCCUGAAGGUAGCAGUAAAAAGCCUAUGCAUUACUUAUGGCUUCACAAGAAAAGAGUAAUCAGUACUUCUAGCCACAGAGGAAAUGUAAAUCCAAGACGUGCUUUCUCCCCUCCCCCCCCUUUUUCUUAAUAAAUAAAUAAAAGAGUGAUUGAAAUAAAACAAGUGCCUUGAAUGCAAUGAAGCAUCAAUAAAAUACCAGCCCCCAGCUAGAUGUGAUCAAUACAGUUUCUAUAAUUAAAGUGAAGCUGUUUGAGUCCGCUCAGUUGUUUAUGUAUGCCUGUAAUAAAUGCUGCAUUUACAACUUUGUGCCAAUUAACUCAACCAAAAUCACCCACACAUAGCAUAACUAGAAGUUGUGUUUGUAAAGGUCACUACUGAAACCACCAUACCAAUUCACUGAAGGCUAAGGCUACUCCUCAUCCUGUUUUCACUGGGCAGGCUUGCGUUCUCAAACUUGUUUCAGAAUCCUCUUCCUCUGAAGGAACGCAUGAACUACCCAUUAACCUAUGACGUGUGGCCACAGAGCAGUCCCAGACUGAACUUCUUGAUGGAGUCAAUUUGCUGUGCGUGUGCAGGUCACCUGCAUGCAGUGUAGGCAGCAGUUUGUAUUUCCAUGUCACACCAAAUACACUGGGGGUUCACAACACAGUGCAUGUAUACACAGAUUUCUGCUUAGGAAAUUCUGGCAGCUUUACUCAAGUCUAAGAAAGAAAGACAAUGUUCACUUAUAGAAUCAAGGAUUCUUUCCAUGGCAAUUUCUGAAUUAAUAAAAUAAUAAGUAUGCAGAAGACAUGCAGGAAAAGAACAAGAUCAAUGAGAAAACAGUAUGAAAUAGCUAUCUGAGGUCCUUUUCCCCACAGAUACAAGGAACUAAGUGCUAACUUUCUAUAGGAGCAAUGCAGACUCCUUAUAUUAUGCAUAAUACAUAAUGGUUUAAGGAAGAAUUGCAUUUAAUGCAGUUUCACUUCCAAACAAGUAGGAACUGCUGCUGACUUUCGAAGACAAAUGUCAUAGCGGGUCUCAGCCACCAUACAGUUGUUGUUCAGAGCACGUAUUCGAAACAUUGUUCAUAGGGAAGCAUGGAAAGCACCACCUACAGAAGAUGCCAGGAGUGCAGCAAUCUAGCAGGAUGGAAAUGAGCUGUAGCAUUUCUAGAACAGUUAAAUGCAAAACACAGGAUACAUAUUCAAUUUGCAUAACAAAACUAAGAUGUGUUUGCCUUCCAUUCUUUCUUUGAUACCCUUAUGGGAAAGUCCUGUACAACUUAACAAGAGGGGGAAUAAAAGAUAUUAUGGGAACUUAACAGUACAGAAAUUACUCUUAAUGUAUAUUCCUAACAAAAGAAUGAUGGUGGGGGG